GAUAAGCGCUGGCGGCGUGCCUAAUACAUGCAAGUCGAGCGAACGGACGAGAAGCUUGCUUCUCUGAUGUUAGCGGCGGACGGGUGAGUAACACGUGGAUAACCUACCUAUAAGACUGGGAUAACUUCGGGAAACCGGAGCUAAUACCGGAUAAUAUUUUGAACCGCAUGGUUCAAAAGUGAAAGACGGUCUUACUGUCACUUAUAGAUGGAUCCGCGCUGCAUUAGCUAGUUGGUAAGGUAACGGCUUACCAAGGCAACGAUGCAUAGCCGACCUGAGAGGGUGAUCGGCCACACUGGAACUGAGACACGGUCCAGACUCCUACGGGAGGCAGCAGUAGGGAAUCUUCCGCAAUGGGCGAAAGCCUGACGGAGCAACGCCGCGUGAGUGAUGAAGGUCUUCGGAUCGUAAAACUCUGUUAUUAGGGAAGAACAUAUGUGUAAGUAACUGUGCACAUCUUGACGGUACCUAAUCAGAAAGCCACGGCUAACUACGUGCCAGCAGCCGCGGUAAUACGUAGGUGGCAAGCGUUAUCCGGAAUUAUUGGGCGUAAAGCGCGCGUAGGCGGUUUUUUAAGUCUGAUGUGAAAGCCCACGGCUCAACCGUGGAGGGUCAUUGGAAACUGGAAAACUUGAGUGCAGAAGAGGAAAGUGGAAUUCCAUGUGUAGCGGUGAAAUGCGCAGAGAUAUGGAGGAACACCAGUGGCGAAGGCGACUUUCUGGUCUGUAACUGACGCUGAUGUGCGAAAGCGUGGGGAUCAAACAGGAUUAGAUACCCUGGUAGUCCACGCCGUAAACGAUGAGUGCUAAGUGUUAGGGGGUUUCCGCCCCUUAGUGCUGCAGCUAACGCAUUAAGCACUCCGCCUGGGGAGUACGACCGCAAGGUUGAAACUCAAAGGAAUUGACGGGGACCCGCACAAGCGGUGGAGCAUGUGGUUUAAUUCGAAGCAACGCGAAGAACCUUACCAAAUCUUGACAUCCUUUGACAACUCUAGAGAUAGAGCCUUCCCCUUCGGGGGACAAAGUGACAGGUGGUGCAUGGUUGUCGUCAGCUCGUGUCGUGAGAUGUUGGGUUAAGUCCCGCAACGAGCGCAACCCUUAAGCUUAGUUGCCAUCAUUAAGUUGGGCACUCUAAGUUGACUGCCGGUGACAAACCGGAGGAAGGUGGGGAUGACGUCAAAUCAUCAUGCCCCUUAUGAUUUGGGCUACACACGUGCUACAAUGGACAAUACAAAGGGCAGCGAAACCGCGAGGUCAAGCAAAUCCCAUAAAGUUGUUCUCAGUUCGGAUUGUAGUCUGCAACUCGACUACAUGAAGCUGGAAUCGCUAGUAAUCGUAGAUCAGCAUGCUACGGUGAAUACGUUCCCGGGUCU
rnacentral:rRNA from 1 species